UACGUAGGGACCGAGCGUUGUCCGGAAUCAUUGGGCGUAAAGAGCGUGUAGGCGGCCACUUAAGUCCUGCGUGAAAUCUUGCGGCUCAACCGCAAGCGGUCGUGGGAAACUGGGUGGCUAGAGUGCGGGAGAGGAGAGUGGAAUUCCUGGUGUAGCGGUGGAAUGCGCAGAUAUCAGGAAGAACACCGGUGGCGAAGGCGGCCAUCUGGCUCGGUACUGACGCUCAGGCGCGAAAGCGUGGGGAGCAAACAGG
rnacentral:rRNA from 1 species